rnacentral:pre_miRNA from 1 species
GAAAGCAUUACAGGGCGAAUCCUCUAUUGGCAGGGGAAGUUGAUGAGUGUUGAUCACUCUUAUAUUUUCUCAUCAUUUUCCUCUGCCAAAGGAGAUUUGCCUCGCAAUGCUUCC